AGUAAACAUGGACGACCUUCCAGACGAGAUUGUCUCAAAUAUUCUUGAAUAUCUCGAUCCUGUUACUAAGUUAAGGAUAUCGCUUAUAAAUAGAAGGUUUUAUGAGAUCGCUAGAGACCCUCUGAUACAUAGGUAUGCUACUUUUAAGACUUGGGAAUUUCUUCCAGAGAAGGUUAUAGCUACUUACCUUAAACUGUACGGUUCCUCAAUUAGGUCGUUAGAUCUACAAGAUUGCUACUGGUUAGGUCUCUCUUUCAUGCCUGUCAUCCUGCAGUCCUGCUCAAAUUUGACUAAUCUUAAUCUAAUAGGCUCUGUAGAGGUCCCUAUCAAUGCCGUUGCAACGAUAUUCAAACACAAUAGAAACCUAAAGCAUUUUGGAUGGACAAUUGGACUAGAUAUAUUGGCAAAAAUGAAAAAUAUUAAUUCUGGGCCUGGUAGGCAAGCUCUUGAGCAAGUNAAUGGCAUUGCAGUUUUAUUUGAAAGAUUGAUAUCACUCAAGCUGGGAUUGAUGGUGUACUCAGCAAUUUCGUACAGAGAUGGAUUUGAACCAGAGGCNACAAUGUUCACACAUAUUCUGUCAAGAAUAAUUUCACCUAAACUGCAAGCACUUACUUUGACUUGUCUUGAUAGAGGAUAUUUUAUGCAGCAUCCAAAACAAUCUAGAGUGCUCAUUGAUCUGAAUGUAAGGCUUGGAAAGUUGGACAGUAGCACNGGUUCUGUCAUGGAUUUGAAAAAUCAUUUUGCAAAGACAAGGCAGGAGUUGGCUAUUGCUGCUAUCACUAAACAUGAUGGGAUAAUAAAAGGAUGGCUAAAANAUAUCAUUAGCAAUAAAACAUAUACUAUCAAAUCCCUUGAAACUCCUGGAAAUCCAUUUCUAAAUUAUUGGAUUCCAUUNCUUGGAAAUGGUCUAUCAUAUUGUGAGAUCGAGGACAUCAAGACCCUGGACAUCAACUCAUCACAUGACGUUCCNAUAUAUUGGAUGAUAUCUGUUCUAAGAGCAAAUUCACUAACAUUCUUAAACGUAUCCAAUAUGGAAUGUGUCACAGGGUACCUUCUUGAGAUUCUAUCAGAAUCAUCUCCUUGUUUAGAAAGCUUAAAUGUCCAGGGAUGUCAUGACAGUUUGGAUCCAAUUGGGGGUCUAAGGUUGAUAGCUAAACGCUGUCUGCAUCUUCAUCACCUCAAUCUUGGUCGUAUCCAUCAUCACUCAUCAGGACCAAGUAAUGACUUACUUGAAAUUCUAUCAAGCAUAANAUACCUAAAAACUGUCAGUCUGUCGGGAUGCAGCAUCAUUCCAUGUACCCUGGAACAAGAUGAAGAAACAUUGUCAGACACUGAGACUAUUAAGUAUGAUGGCNAGGAUGAUGAUGAUGACAAUGAUGANNANACAGUUGAUGAUUACUANGCAGAUAAUGACAAUAGAAAGACUGAUGAUGAUAGUGAUGACAUCCAUGAUGACAAUUGGCAAUGUAACCUUCAAAAACAUCACUGCUUGCAAACCGUUAUGGAAUCAUGCACAUUUCUGAGACAGAUAGAAAUAAUAAGUGUUGGAUUUCAUUCUGUUCUCAGGAAAGGCUGGCUGAUAAGUAGACCACCACCAGAGAGAUCACACCUUAUUUGGGAUUGNCCAGAUAAUGAAGGUCACUACUUAAAGGCUUUGGCUUUUUGUCCAUGUUUAGAAAAGCUCACCAUAGCUGGCUUAGAUGUNAGAGGUGGCCUUGAAUUUCUUUGCCAGAUAACAUCAUCAUGUAGAAAGCUGUACUUUUUGUCNCUUGCACAACUAAGAGGCUUAGAGAUGGCUGAUGCCCUGCCAAAUUUAAACAANGCACUGUCUAACUGCAGCAAUCUAAAGCACCUCAGUCUUUUACCAAGGCACUCUUUGAUGUGAAAAAUCUUGAAUCACUUUGUAUCAUCACCAAGGGUGGAAGUAUAGCAAUUUCAACAAUUCUGCCAUUGUUUGAAAAGUGUCGAAAGUUGAGAGUUCUACAAAUUUGUUCUGAUAUUUCAUCAUCUGAAGAAACCUUUCGCAAUCUCACAAACAUUCUUUACAAGAG
rnacentral:misc_RNA from 1 species